AUGGGACAUCAAGGUCGACAGUACUCAAAUCGGAAGAGACCUGCAUUACAAGGGAAAACAGAGCUGGCCCAUCAUUAAAAACGUCAGAAUGUGAAACAGAAUUUCAAAUUUAUUAUCAUGUUUGCCAUCUAAUCAAGAAUUCUUACCCGGCUAAGGACCCUUCCUAGAGGAGUAGAAUCAUAAAAGGACAUCGGUGCACGGAACAACGAGUCAAGUAACUGGGAAAACAAGGAUCUCGAUGUCUGGACCCCGAGAACAACAACCGAUAGACAUCUUGAUAGCAAAAACAACAUCGUGCAAAGUCCGAUAACAAUGUACACAGUGAUUAGCCUCAGUGUACUGACACGCGGAUCUUGGACAUUCGCCGCCAUCCAAGAGUUCUGUGCUAUUUGCCCCGCUAUGAAGAUCAUGUGAGAAAUGACACACAGAGAGGCAUACAUGAAGCCUCUGUUCUGGCGCAGGUAAAUCAUGUAGGGCUUAAGUCCAGUGUCUCCUGUCUCUCUUUCCUCUUCCUUGAUCAGUUGGUGUGCUGGUGAUGGCUUCUCAGACUUUGUGUAUCCACUUCCAUAGGCAUGAUGCUUCUCCUUUGUUGAUGUUCCGUUUGCUCUGUGAGGAGCAGCAUUGUUAUCAACAUCUGAAAUCCCAAUGGUAUCCUUAUGGGCAUUUACAAGGUCUUUGAAUUCUUGACAGUCCGCCAAUAGAUCUCGAUAAGGCCAUUAUAGAUAUGUGUGUGUGAGAGGGAGACCAGAAUGGAGUCGAAGACGGGUAGAAAAUCGACUUGGUGGGUGACCAGAAGAACAGUCUUGUCUGAAAGAGCGCCCAUGACAUAUUCCUGCAUGUCAGAUAAAUCAAUGAGGCCGGUUGCUGUAUGGGCAUCGACGGCGCUGAAAGGGUCGUCGAGGAGAUAUAUGUCUGCAUCUUGGUACAACGCACGAGCAAGCUGAAGGCGCUGCUUCUGACCGCCACUCAGGUUCACUCCCCUCUCCCCGAUUUCAGUAUCGUCUCCGUACGGCAACAUCUCAAGGUCCUUCACCAGCGAGCACCUCGCGAGUGUUUCCUGGUACCUUUGGCUGUCCAUACGAGACCCGAAGAGAAUGUUCUCCUGCACGGUUCCGGUUUGGAUCCAUGCAUUCUGUGACACAUAUGCUAUUUUUCCGCAGACUUGAAUCUGAUGGAUGAACAUUUUACACAUGAUUAAAGCUUAUUGUCACAUCAUGACCUUAUAAAUGUUUAAUUUUCCAUCAGCUGAAUGUUAGGCUAUCAAUUCUGAAUACUGCAUCUA